AGAUAGGUAACCAGUCGUCUGUAAAGGAUCAAUAUAGUUGGGGUGCAGAUACAGGCCUUCCCCUAGGGAAACACUUGCAUCAGUAUUAGUGAGAGACCAAGUACACAUCUGAAGCAUUCCUGUGCUUUCUGUCCACUUGUCAGGUGAUGUUGCCACGUAUGACUGUCCAUCAAGCCAGGAGAUGAACCCCCACCGUGAGGCAGUGACUCAAGGUGCAAGGGAGUCCGGCAAGAAGUGUGGCGCACCCGAGUUGCUGCCACUGCUUUUUGGAUCACCCAGCACGGUGAAGUUGCCACGUAUGACUGUCCAUCAGCCAGGAGAUGAACCCCCACCCGUGAGGCAAGUGACUCAAGGUGCAAGGGAGUCCGGGCAAGAAGUGUGGCGCACCCGAGUUGCUGCCACUGCUUUGUUGGAUCACCCAGCACGGUACGGCUUCUCCUGCCCCAAGACGUGUCGUGAAUUUCAGGUUUCCUGGGACUGCCUGAGUGGUUGUUCGUAUAGAGGGACCGUUCCUCUUGCUGAGAAGCCUGAGGGCUCUGAGUUCCCCUGGCUGCUGGAGGACUCCCGGGUCACUGGCUCCUCCUGGGAGCAGCCCUUCCUGCCGUGAGGAGGUGGGCAGCAAGCCAGCACGUGCUCGGAUCGAUGAUGACACCCUCACAUGCAUUCCUUGGAAAAUCUGAACAAAAUGAGUGAGAACUCACUACCGUCUCCUCAUCGAAACUGAGGUCCAGCACGUUGCCUCCCUUGGGGUUAAGGGUGGGACUGGUUAGCAGUGAGGGCGUCUCCGACUGUGUCACACACACGCAUGGAGGAGCCAGGUCACCACCAUUUGCGAGGCUCCCGUCUGAGGGUGGGCCAUGUACAGAUAUUCUAGCGGCCCUCUUGGAAUACAAGGUCCAUGUAAAGGCACUGAGGAGCAUAGAGCCAUCUGGCUUGUCCAGUGGUGGUGGUGUCGCAGUAGAUCCUAGCCUCAGACAGUUGACGUCUUAGCUUGGAAAGGUGCAUUUUGUCCUGAUUCCUGCUGCAGAUGCACUAAUUGGGGCUCUGGUGAUGUCGAUUCUAAAGCAAUGAAGCUUCUGUGGUUUGUGAUUGGAGCCCCAGGUCAGGUCUGAGGCCCUCGCCGUUGCAUCCCUUUGGGUUGCUGAGAUUCCUGAGUGCCAUGUGGGCUGCAGUGGCUGCAGAGACCUGGGGGAAUGGUGGCAGUUGUGAAAGUUAAUAGGCCCAUUUCUGCCCUUGGCAGUGGCUGAAUUGCAACUCCUGUCACGUGCUUGAGUCUUGGAGGUCGCCAUGGACUAUGCUGUGGUCCUAGGCCUGCAUUCCUCCUGCAGGUUGGCCAGAGGCCCAGAGAAGAAUGUUUGUGCAGGUGAGGAAAAGUGCAGUGUGAUUUACUGGGACAAUAUGUCCGCUGAGGCUUGCAGGCACUGUUGUUCUGUUUUCAGUAAUACAGUGGGGUCCUUUUGGAGCUGCCAUCAGCUGGGUACAGAGGACAGGGC
rnacentral:lncRNA from 1 species